CUUGGUGCCUAUGGCGCGGUGGAACCACGCCGAUCCAUCUCGAACUCGGUUGUGAAACGCUGCUGCGGCGAAGAUAGUUGGAGGGUUGCCUCCCGCAAAAAUAGCUCGGUGCCAGGG
rnacentral:rRNA from 1 species